UAGCGUAUAUUAAAGUUGUUGCAGUUAGAACGCUCGUAGUCGGAUUUCGGGGCGGGCCGACCGGUCUGCCGAUGGGUAUGUACUGGCCGGCGCGUCCUUCCUUCCGGAGACCGUGCCUACUCUUAACUGAGCGGGGGCGGGAGACGGGACUUUUACUUUGAAAAAAUCAGAGUGUUUCAAGCAGGCAGCUCGCUCUUGCAUGGAUUAGCAUGGGAUAAUAAAAUAGGACUUUGGUGCUAUUUUGUUGGUUUCGAACACCGAAGUAAUGAUGAGAAGGGACAGUCAGGGGCACUCGUAUUUUGCCGAGAGAGGUGAAAUUCUCAGACCAGCGAAAGACGAACCACUGCGAAAGCAUUUG
rnacentral:rRNA from 1 species